rnacentral:rRNA from 1 species
GACGAAGGAUGCAAGCGUUAUCCGGAUUCAUUGGGUUUAAAGGGAGCGUAGGUGGUCUUAUAAGUCAGUGGUGAAAUCUCGCAGCUUAACUGCGAAACUGCCAUUGAUACUGUAGGACUUGAGUAUAGUUGCUGUGGGCGGAAUAUGUCAUGUAGCGGUGAAAUGCUUAGAUAUGACAUAGAACACCAAUUGCGAAGGCAGCUUACUACACAGUUAUUGACGCUGAGGCACGAAAGCGUGGGGAUCAAACAGG